rnacentral:rRNA from 1 species
UACGGGAGGCAGCGAGUGGGGAAUAUUGCACCAAUGGGCGGAAGCCUGAUGCAGCGGACGCCGCGUGAGGGAUGACGGCCUUCGGGUUGUAAACCUCUUUCAGCACGGAAGAAGCGAAAGUGACGGUACGUGCAGAAGAAGCGCCGGCUAACUACGUGCCAGCAGCCGCGGUAAUACGUAGGGCGCAAGCGUUGUCCGGAAUUAUUGGGCGUAAAGAGCUCGUAGGCGGUUUUGUCGCGUCUGCUGUGAAAGCCCGGGGCUUAACCCCGGGUGUGCAGUGGGUACGGGCAGACUUGAGUGCAGUAGGGGAGACUGGAAUUCCUGGUGUAGCGGUGAAAUGCGCAGAUAUCAGGAGGAACACCGAUGGCGAAGGCAGGUCUCUGGGCUGUUACUGACGCUGAGGGAGCGAAAGCAUGGGGAGCGAACAGGGAUUAGAUACC